GGCACGGCUUGAUACGUUACCUUUGAUAUUCUGAUUUAAUUCUUUUGCAUAGAUUAGAGACCAGACAAGCUCCUAACCUGACCGGGGCGCUACCCUGUAUUGACUGCCAAUCUCUAAGUCACUCGGUGAAUGCUGUUUGCAGACUCUUAUCAGUUCAUUAAAGUUUGUUAUCGUUUAUGCAGUGGCUCUGUACCUUGCUGGUAAUCUCCAGUGCAGGAUCUUAUCAAGCACUCUUUUGAAAGUCUAGCCAUACUCUAUACCAUCCACAGUGUUUUCCUUGUCUACCUUGGCAGGGAUAGCUUUGAAAAAUUCCAACAAAUUAUUUGAGCAAGAUUUCCUGCUCGUAAAUCCAGGAGCCUGGAAGGGAGCAGGACAUCCUCGGUGUGUGCUCAGCUGCCUGGAGGUGACCUCUCAGGAGUUAACAGCAGGGAGAUCUCUGUGAUACCAAACUGCCUGAGCACAGAUUAGGCCCUGGGAGCUGCUGUGGCCUGGCCCUGGCUCUGACACCAGUUUUUCAUGACUUUGGUGAGCUCGCUGGACGGCACAUCUCGUUGGCUUUUAAUAGACUUGGAUCCCACUGUUAAAAGAGCUUCCAUGUCCUCUUCUGUAAAAUAGCUUUGGAAUGUUUUCCUGGGCUUAGGAGGAUGUGGCUGCUGGAGUGGGAGCUGUGCAGUUGAGCUAACUGCAGUAGAAACUGUGCUAAUGAGCUAUGAAGACACCCAAAAAAUGCCUCUUCUCCCCAAGAGCAAGGAAUUGUGUAGGCUUUGACUCCUUUAGUAUAAGUCCUGUUACUGCUGGCUGGAACCUCAGCCUUUGCGCAGAAGCAGCUGUUUGUCACCAACAUACCCUGAGUACCAGCUAGAAAUAAUCAUUUAAAAAGGGGUAUGUGAACUGCUUAAACCAAAUCCCAGCUGAGG